GAGAAGUUAACUGUUAUUUUGAACUCUGAAUCUCAUAUAGACCAGUGUUCACUUUAUCUUACUCUCUCUCUCUCCUCUCUCUCACUCUCUGUCUCUGAAAUUUCUUCAGAUUUUUUAUUUGUUUCUGGUGCUCUUACUUUUCACAAUGUUGGAACUUAUUGAUGGUUCUGUCUGUGUCUAUUGGGCUGGACAUGCUUUAGGAUCUUUUAUAACCUGUACUCAGUUUGAGUAGUUUCUUGGGUUGAUUCCGUUUUGAUUUUCUCAUUUCUUUGGAAAUUUAUAAUUUUAAAAUUUUGGACCACUGAGAACAUUUUUAAAUUGUCUUAAUCUAACUUUCCACUUCUAUUCUUUUGCCUAUUCUUCUUAGAUAAUUUUUACACUUUAUUUUCAAGCCCUUCUAUUAAUAUUUUUAUUUCUGCUGUGUUAUUUCUAAGACUUACAGAUUUUAUAAUGCUAUUUUUUAGCAUCUCUCCUAUUUUGUGGAUAUGUCAUCUUUUCUCUCUGAAUAUGAUAAUGAGGCUUUCAUUUGUUUUCUAAGUUUUUAUAUCCCUAGGUAUUUACUGUUUUGAUAAUUUUUUCUUCCCUGUUUGUUUGCUUUGCUUUUUUCUUCCAAGAUAAAGCCUGGAAGCUGCACGUCACCUGCCAGCUUUGUGUGUGCCCAGUGAGUGCAGGUGGCAUAAUGACCAGCGGUGACUUGAAUGACAAGGGGACAGAACAGCUGGACAAUCCAAUUCCUAGAUGCUUUCUCCAGUUAUGGCCCUGACUGGGAUCUCCGAAGAAUGACUCAGCUGAAACUAUUUCAUCAUUGCCUACAUUUGUCUUCAGACGACCUGCAGUACAAACUUGGCUUAAACCUGCAGUUGACAAUGGUAACAGGAAUCUUAUUUUAAAAAAUAAUAUGCGCCACCAGCUAAGUUGGUCAUGAUGAGGUCUGGGCCUUGAUAGCCUUCUGGGUUUUAAUUCACACAAUAUGUUUGAAAAAAGAAAAAUCAAAGUAACUGUAAUUUUUUUGUAAAGCAAAAUACUUUUUAAAAGCCAUGAGGCACGUGUUACUCAAAGGGCUCCUUGGAUGAAUUAUUUUGUAAGGCAAAUGAUUUGUUAUAGUUCCAAUGACAUCUAAAUUUGCCAGUUGUAAAUACUGGAAUUUUUGGUCCUUGCAUUGAACUUACUGGUAUUGAUGUGCUAUAUAACUAAAUGUCUUCUAAAAGGAUUCACCGUGGGAGAAUAAAUUACAAUGGAUAAAAAACAGCAUUACAAUCCCUCAAUAAAAUGGGAUUUUAACAGACAAAGGUGAGUCAGUGGUGAAAGGCAGGAGAAGAUACAACAGGUAAGUGUCUGACUUCAGGCUGGAGCCCUAAUAUAAUAAUAAGUCCUUCUUGUAUUGUAAUCUCUUACAGCUGAAUCUCCAUGUGCUCUCUCUCUCUUCUAACAUCAAUGCAGCUCCUGGUAUGUGGUCGUUCUCAGGCCCAAAGGCCCAUUUUGCUUUUGGCUGCAACUCUGUAACUCUGUAACAGAGACCAAGUGCCUGCAGGGAGCAGAUGUUUGGGGCAGUAUCUGCUAAGGUGGCUUUGCUGAAACUUGUUUCUCUCAUUGGGUCUUGGAAGUGGCGAAUAGGACGUUCCUAUAGAAAAACUCAGAAAGAUAAUGAAGCUGCUAUUUGCAAGAACUGCAUCUGUCUGACUCUCAGACAGAUCUACACCAGUGUUUAGCAGACAUGCCAAAUGAUAAGAGUCAAUCACAGCCUCUGUAGAAAAUACUGGAACCCUGAUGUGGACUUACUGAAUCAGAAUCUCCAGGCAAUAAGCUUGAGAUUCUCUGAAGCUCUUCUCCACCACAUCCAGUUCUGCAGUAUCCUUCCGAUGUCAUUUGUCUGUAGUUCAUCAGCCCCCGGCUUUUCUCCCAGCUCAAGAUCCUUUUCCA
rnacentral:lncRNA from 1 species